UGUGUCGGAGCCGCACGUUAGCUAGGGAGACGGCGUCUUAGCCCUCCGUCACAUGACGGCAAACAACGAGAACGACGACCGGAAAGGAACGGCGCGGACCUCCAGCGAGGUGCGAACGAUCGGGCCCUGCAUGACAACACAAAGGACAAAUAUUUGCAUCCUUGAUCUGCGAUGAACAACCGUGAAUGCGUACUCGUCAAGACAAAUGCGGCUUCAGUGAGACGGAAGGCUCAGGUCUCGAGGUUUCCUGUAGCCGACUGAAGAGUUCUUUGUGCUCCGCUUCCUGUGUGUUCAUUCAUGGUAACCUUUUCCCAGAGUAAAUACUCCUGUUCAAAUACAGUCCUUAAAUCUGGGAACGGGUCGUCUGCCAUUUGUGGACUGCAAAAGCCACAGGUGUACUACGAUGAUCAAAUGGUGAUAAAACGUGGAGCGGGGAUUGAUGGAUGUCCGCAGGGUGGCGCCUCACAGUUCAGGUGUUCCCCGUUCGAAUCCCCAGCCCGAGCCGUCGCGUGUGUGUGGACUCUUCGCAUCCACGUUGUAGCUCGAUGCUCCGGUUGCAAGCGAACAAUACGCCUUCACACAUAACUGACAAAUGUCAUGUCCCCCGUCAAUCGAUGCUCCAGGAUGAGAGAGGAAGCUUUUCAUCCGUGCGCGCGUAUAAGCGGCGAUGGAGGAUGCUGGAGGCCGAGGCAGGAAUUCGGCAGAUGAAAUAAAGCUUCGCUUCCUGCGGAUUCCUCGGCGGGUUCCCCCCGGCCAGACAUCACGCGCCUUAAAACGCGUUCGCCAGCAGACACGUGGACUCUGAGGUCUGAGCGUCCAUAACGCCGGCACCCUCGCGGCCCCGCCUCUCAGCCACAGGGAAAGCGGCAAAGCGUCAACUACUUUGUCCACAUUAGCCGCGUCCCCCAGCCCAGACAGGCGCACUUGGUCACUGUCCCAGAAAUCACAGUGCCCUAGUGGCACCCCGGGAAACUUAGACAAAUGGGAGGCCAGAACCGAGGAAAAGUAGGGCGGCCAGUCAUCAUUUACUGUUUUUUUUUCCCCUCCCUUUUUCUUUGGCCUUUGGUGAUAUCCAGAUACGAUGAAAAAUGGAUUACAUGUGGUGGACGUGUCCCGAUACACGUACAGUUUCACAAAACCCCAAAAAACAACAAUAAGAAAAGCAAUAGUAAUAAUAUUUGCUUGGAUUAGUGUUAAAUCACUAGCAUCAAGUCAACACCGACCGUUUUGAGGCUGAGGGCUUCCUCGUGAGCACCUUUAGCAUCAAGGACUACACGAUAUGUUUGUUUGUUGUAUGUUGUUUCUUUAUACAUAAAAUGUUUUUAUUUUCAUUUUUUACAUCAUAUGACUGUUUAAAAAAAAAAAUCAAUAAUAUACACAAGUCAGAUUCAAACAUUAAAGCACAAAUAAUAUUAAUGAUAAUAAUAAUAAUGACAAAUUCUGACCUGGGCUCUUUUUUUAGAA